UACGUAGGGUGCAAGCGUUGUCCGGAAUUAUUGGGCGUAAAGAGCUUGUAGGCGGUUUGUCGCGUCUGCUGUGAAAUUUCGGGGCUCAACCCCGAACUUGCAGUGGGUACGGGCAGACUAGAGUGUGGUAGGGGAGACUGGAAUUCCUGGUGUAGCGGUGAAAUGCGCAGAUAUCAGGAGGAACACCGAUGGCGAAGGCAGGUCUCUGGGCCGAUACUGACGCUGAGGAGCGAAAGCGUGGGGAGCAAACAGG
rnacentral:rRNA from 1 species